GGCCAAUGUUAUGUAAAAAAGAUUAUUUAUUCUUUUCUCUCUCUCUCUCUCUCCUGGGAACAAGUUAAAGAUAAAACGCCAGUUGUUAAGAAGUUAAAAUUUGCAUGAAAUAUUUUGAGAUAACCAAGAUAUUAAAAUGUAAAAAAAAAAAAAAGUAUUUCUAUAAUUUCAUGGGUUCUGAAUGUUUUAAAAGCAGUUGAAAAGUAAUUCUUAUUGCGUGUGAGAGUUCAUGACCUGUAAGAGUUUUUACACUUCCGGGUUGACCGGAGCGUGAGUGACGAGGAAGAAGGAGCGGAGAGUUAAUGGCGUCAGGCAGCUAACAGUGGACUGGUGUGUGUCGUCAGUGUCGUGUUUAACAGAGACUGUGAACUGUUGUCGGACGACGUGCUGUGAGUGUGUGAUUUGGACUCUCCAUCGCAGUCGAAGUGUUUGUUUUUUAAUGGACACGAAGCAAGUUCGGCUAAGCUAGCGAGGAGGAGCUAAGCUAGCUAGCAGGAGCUAGGCUAGCCACAUGUAUCCCUGACUGCAGACCCGCAGACCUCAAUGUGGGCGGGGUUAAACGUUGAACCCCGCCCACUCUUCAAAAUUUGACUCCGCCGUCACUGUGAUGCUUCCUGUUCGGUCUUAUGUAUUCCUCCUGUCUCCUUCCACGCUGGCUUCUCGAACCACAAGGUCCAAAAGACUGAAACCAUCCAGCGCCCAGUGAAGGAAAAGAAUGAAAGAAGAGGAAGACGUGAAGAAGAUACAGAUGCUUUUUGAAAUAUUUCACCACCAGCCCAUUGACACAGCAUCAGGUGCUCCUGUCCCUUUACCUCAGCACAGCAGAGUGACACAGCAUCAGGACUAAAGGCUGCACCAUGCUGACUGACCAUCUCUGCUAACUGACAAAUCUUUUGGGACAGGAGGAAUACAUAAGACCGAACAGGAAGCAUCACAGUGACGGCGGAGUCAAAUGUUGGAUAGUGGGCGGGGUUAAACGUUUAACUCCGCCCACAUUGAGGUCUGCGGGUCUGCAGUCAGGGGCUUCUCAGGCUAGCGGCCCGGCCAUUGUCGAGAGGACGUCUGCGCGGACGGGAGAAGCUUUGCCGGGUCGCCACGAAGAAUGUCGCCGACGGACGGAGCUUCGCUGCCGCAGAGGGACACGGAGGUUUAUCGCUGCGAGCAUUUGUUUUCACAGACUAACCUCGCCUCAUAACAAGGCCGCGACCUCCUGUUAG
rnacentral:lncRNA from 1 species